rnacentral:rRNA from 1 species
UACGUAGGGGGCAAGCGUUGUCCGGAAUUAUUGGGCGUAAAGAGCUCGUAGGCGGUCCGUUAAGUCAGAAGUGAAAUCUCAGGGCUCAACCCUGAAAUUGCUUCUGAUACUGGCGGACUUGAGGUAGGUAGGGGAAGGUGGAAUUCCUGGUGUAGCGGUGAAAUGCGCAGAUAUCAGGAGGAACACCGGUGGCGAAGGCGGCCUUCUGGGCCUUACCUGACGCUGAGGAGCGAAAGCGUGGGGAGCGAACAGGAUUAGAAACCCCAGUAGUCC